GCGUGCGUCGUAUAGCGGCUAAUAUAUCUGGCUUCCACCCAGAGGACGAGAGUUCGAUUCUCUCCGCCCGCG
rnacentral:tRNA from 1 species